rnacentral:piRNA from 1 species
UCCCUGGCUCUUGUAGCUUUGAAGGUGA